rnacentral:rRNA from 1 species
CCCUUAGAUGUUCUGGGCGGCCCGCGCACUACAUUGGCACUAGCAAAGAGAUCCUAGAUUGAAUUCUUUGGGGUAUUCUUCUAAAUGGUGUCGUGACUGGGAUAAAUCCUUGUAAUUAUUGGUUUUGAACGAGGAAUUCCUUGUAAUCGCGGUUUAUCAGCUCGCGUUGAAUGCGUCCCCGCCCUUUGUACACACCGCCCGUCGCUCCUACCGAUGGAUCGUCCGGUGAAGCUCACGGAGUGACUGUUCACGCAACGGUUUACGAAGUGAAAUGGACCUCACGAUUGAGAGGAAGGAGAAGGCGUAACA